GAUGAACGCUGGCGGCGUGCCUAAUACAUGCAAGUCGAGCGAAUGGAUUAAGAGCUUGCUCUUAUGAAGUUAGCGGCGGACGGGUGAGUAACACGUGGGUAACCUGCCCAUAAGACUGGGAUAACUCCGGGAAACCGGGGCUAAUACCGGAUAACAUUUUGAACCGCAUGGUUCGAAAUUGAAAGGCGGCUUCGGCUGUCACUUAUGGAUGGACCCGCGUCGCAUUAGCUAGUUGGUGAGGUAACGGCUCACCAAGGCAACGAUGCGUAGCCGACCUGAGAGGAUGAUCGGCCACCCUGGGACUGAGGCACGGCCCAGACUCCUACGGGAGGCAGCAGUAGGGAAUCUUCCGCAAUGGACGAAAGUCUGACGGAGCAACGCCGCGUGAGUGAUGAAGGCUUUCGGGUCGUAAAACUCUGUUGUUAGGGAAGAACAAGUGCUAGUUGAAUAAGCUGGCACCUUGACGGUACCUAACCAGAAAGCCACGGCUAACUACGUGCCAGCAGCCGCAGUAA
rnacentral:rRNA from 1 species